rnacentral:tRNA from 1 species
AGGGGUACAACUCAAUGGUAGAGCAUGUGCUUAGCAUGCAUGAGGUCCUGGGUUCAAUCCCCAGUACCUUCC